rnacentral:rRNA from 1 species
AUUGAACGCUAGCGGGAUGCCUUACACAUGCAAGUCGAACGGAGUGGCGAACGGGUGAGUAAUGUAUAGGAACGUGCCCAGUAGCGGGGGAUAACUACGCGAAAGCGUAGCUAAUACCGCAUACUCUUUGAUCGGCCGCUAUCGGAUUAGCUAGUGGGGGGGGUAAAGGCCCACCAAGGCGACGAUCCGUAGCUGGUUUGAGAGGAUGAACAGCCACACUUGGACUGAGACACGUGCCAGACUCCUACGGGAGGCAGCAGUUGGGAAUUUUGGACAAUGGGGGAAACCCUGAUCCAGCCAUCCCGCGUGUGCGAUGAAGGCCUUCGGGUUGUAAAGCACUUUUAGCAGGAAAGCGGUACCUGCAGAAUAAGCACCGGCUAACUACGUGCCAGCAGCCGCGGUAAUUC